UUUUUUUUUGCUUCUCUGAGCUUGAAGCCAGAGGCCCUGACCAUGGAAGCAAAGGUGGGUAUGAAUGAAGUAAGUAGGAAAAAGCAAGGACAAAGCCAGAAGCAAGUCUGUCUUGCUAGUCUCCAGUCCUGAUGAUGCAGGUGACCUGAAGGGCAAGGUGAUUCUCUUCACCAGAAAGCUGAACCACACCUGGCCAAAAUCAGAGAAGCUGAAGGAGAAGUUUUGCCAAAAUAAGUGGAAAUGUAUGAUCUGAAACUACACAUGAAUCUCAACAGAGUAUCUUCUGUGUUCAAAAUGCAAUGAAAGUAGAAAUCAACAAUAGAAAAGGAACUAAAAGAGCAAUACAUGUGAAAACUGAAUUGCAAGCUUUUAAUAUCUUACUAUUUAAAAAAGUCUUGAUGGGAAUUAGAAAAUAUUUAUAAAAUUAUGGAUUAUAAAAGAAAAGUUAAAAAUUACAUAAAAACAAAUAAAUGUACCUUCUCUGCUCAGUGGUAUAGACUAUGUUUGUUGAUUGUGUUGUUCCAAAUUUCCCCAUACAAAUAUUAGAUAAAUUUCUCUACCGAAUAUUUAAUUCAAAAUCACACAGAAAAAAUGUGACAUGUAAUUCCAAGUUAGUUAAAUUGACACAGUAGAAAGGUAUUAAUUCUUUAUUGAUUUCUGUGACUUUUUUUUCACUCAAAAACAACUUUCUAACUUGUUUUGUGUAGGUAUAUAGCCUUACCUUUCAUUGCUGUAUUGUGGUCCACUAUGUGAAAAUCUCUAUCUGUUCUACUAUAUGUGGGUAUCUCAGUUGUUUCCAGUUUUUGCUUUUAUAAAGGAUGUUAUUGUGGAUAUUCUUAUAUAUUUCUCCUAAUGUAAAUUGUACAACCAUUUCUCCAUGGUUUAUAAAUAGGAGACUUAUCACCUAAUUUUAUAAAAUAAUGCUAACCUGUCUUCCAGAAAUAUUUACCAAGUUUAUAUUUCUACUAAUGCCGUAUUAAAGUUUUAAUUGAACUACAUGCUUAUUAAUACUUAGCAUUAUCAUACUGCUCAAUAUUGUCUAGU
rnacentral:lncRNA from 1 species